CAGCACUUUGUCCCUCAUUAUAAUGGUUUGCGUCUAUGUAUUUUAGCUAAAAGAUAAAUAGGGGUGAUUGAAAAGUCCCAUGACGAAUAAGGCAUAGACUAGACACGUUUUCCGGCGGGUCUGUCGAUUUCCAUUUAACGUCGAGUGACGGGUGGCUUUAACUGCUCAUGGGAUGCAGGAAACACGGAAGUGGACUUGCGGUUGAAAGCAUCCAUCCAACUAUUGCUUAUGUAAUCAGGAAGUCACGUUCACAGGAAGUCACGUUCUGUCAAAGGGCGCAACUGUAAUUAGUCAAUGGGCUUAUAGUACUGUUGAAGUCUGGG
ensembl:lncRNA